CCAGGGAGAGCACUCUUUCCAGACGCUGUAUCUGCUUGUACCUUGGCCUUGGACUUAACAGCUUCUAGGACUGUGAACAAGAAGUACUCUCAGAUUAAGCCCUGGUUGAUUGCAGCUUUUAACAUCAGUGGGGACUGGCUGGGGUCUGUCUCAGGCCCUUUUGAGCAUUUUGUAACUCACUUUUGUUACAAUGGUUGUCUCUGAAGUCCUUGAGGGAACAGUUUGUGACUGAGCCACAUGUCCAUCCUCAGCUACACACAGAGCUCGUCUGUGAACACUGAUAUGACGGCAGGACUGUUCACAUCAGAGGAAAGCGGCUGGCCAGUCAUGGCAGUGUGGGAGCCCAUUGAGAGUGAGGGAAGCCUAGAGUGCUGUUAGCAUUAGAGCUCAUUCUGUUCCAAGCCUCAGGUUUCCCAUAUUUAAAUGAACUUAUUACGUCACUGUGGGUCCUAGGUCCUGUCAGCAUGCAACAGCCUGGGGUUGGAAGUUCUCUCUGCCUGGAGCACUUUGUUCCUCCUGCACUGCUUGGCUAUGCUCGACAGAGUUACUCUACCUUCCAAUUUCAACAUAAGGCUUCCUUCUUCCAGGGAACCUUCCUGUUCUCCUCUUCUCCUCUGCUUAGCUUUCGUGACCAAAACUCAGGCAGCAGCCGCCACAGCUUCCAGCCAGCCACACAGUUGGGAGACAAUGAACCAACAGACUCUACAAGCUGGUGGCAGGAAUUGGAAGGUGGUGGAACCUUUGAAAGAUGGUGGCAGCAGAGCAAGAAGAACAAAACCCUUGAAGAUCUGGACAGGUCUCUGCUGCCUGACCCACCAGAAUGGGAACGGCUUCUACCACCCAGCCCUGUGGCCGUGAAAUCUGACCUCCUGCUCUUCCUCCCCUGUCACAAUGGAUGAAACCAAGAACCAGAGUUGGCAGAGACUCUGUUCUUUACAACUAUUCAUCCAUCAGGCUACCAAAGACCCCACUGUCCCACGUUGUCUGGCUCCCAUAGUCUUCACAAUUACUGCAGAAGAAGGGAGGAGAGGAGAGGAAAGAACUAGGCACCAGCUUUUUAUGUCUCCAGCCAGAAAUGAUAGAGAUCACUUCUGUACACACUUUGUUGGCUAAAACUAACUGCUUGAUCCUAAUCCCACCCAGUUCCAAGGAAACAGAAGAGACAGCUUUCUACUCCCAAAAAGGACAGAAGGAAUGUGUCUUCUCAAGUACAGGCAAUACUGCCCAAGCCUGGCUUAUUUGUGCAUAUAAACCUACAGUUAACACCCUGCCAUUUGUCAUGGGUGUCCUUCCAUGGCUAUUUCUAUUUCUUGUAAGUAGCCAUAUAGCUUAUAGUUGUCAUUGUUAAGUCAAAUCGUGUUGUGCUAGAAUAAUUCCUUACCAUUUAAUGGCUAAUUAUGAGAUCAAUUUGAUUUUAUGAUAAAAUUUUAAGCAAAAGCUUUGCAUGGUUUUUGAAUUAUUGCAUUAUUAUCUUGUUUUACUUCAAAGAGAAAGUUUCUGUGAAAAGUGGGCAUACUAAAAAUGUUCCAUAUCCCUUUGCAAAACUCCCUUCGCUCUCCAGACCUAAAGAACCCUGAGGACGGUGGGACGCAUGCUCAUUUUCCUGUGCUGUUCUUAGGAUGGAAUAUUAAACACCCCUGCUAAUAAAAUUAAUACAAAAUUGUGCUUGUUUUAAUUGCUCUGUUGUCUUUAAUCACAAUAAAGAGAAAUACAAUGU
rnacentral:lncRNA from 1 species